rnacentral:rRNA from 1 species
AAUAGCGUAUAUUAAGUUGUUGCAGUUAAAAGCUCGUAGUUGAAUUUCGGGGUUAGUAGGUUGGUCAUGCCUCUGGUAUGUACUGGUCUCACUGAUUCCUCCUUCCUGAUGAACUGUAAUGCCAUUAAUUUGGUGUUGCGGGAAUUUGGACUGUUACUUUGAAAAAAUUAGAGUGUUUAAAACAAGCUAACGCUUGAAUACAUUAGCAUGGAAUAAUGAAAUAGGACGUUCGAUCCUAUUUUGUUGGUUUCUAGGAUUGACGUAAUGAUUAAUAGGGAUAGUUGGGGGCAUUAGUAUUCAAUUGUCAGAGGUGAAAUUCUUGGAUUUAUUGAAGACUAACUACUGCGAAAGCAUUUGCCAAGGAUGUUUUCAUUAAUCAAGAACGAAAGUUAGGGGGAUCGAAGACGAUCAGAUACCGUCGUAGUCUUAACCAUAAACUAUGCCGACUAGGGAUCGGAUGAUGUUAAUUUUUUUAAUGACUCAUUCGGCGCCUUACG